ensembl:snoRNA
AAGGAGGAGGAUAGAAACAUCAUUUACACCUCCCUAGAACAGACUGCCUAUAGAUGACUGGGAUGAAUUGAGAAAUCAUAAUGGACAGAUACAGGACAGACAGUU